UGGCCUGUAGUUCAAUUGGCAGAACGUCUGACUCUGGAUCAGAAGGUUCUAGGUUCGAUUCCUAGCAGGCCAG
rnacentral:tRNA from 1 species